AAAUAAGAAACAAUAAAUUGUUAUUAGUUUCGACCUAAUUCUUGGUGUUAUUAACCACCCUUAUUUU
rnacentral:tRNA from 1 species